UACGAAGGGGGCGAGCGUUGUUCGGAAUCACUGGGCGUAAAGGGCGCGUAGGCGGCCCUUCUUGUCGCGUGUGAAAGCCCCGGGCUCAACCUGGGAACGGCGCGCGAGACGGGAGGCUGGAGUUCGGGAGAGGAGCGUGGAAUUCCAGUGUAGAGGUGAAAUUCGUAGAUAUUGGGAAGAACACCGGUGGCGAAGGCGGCGCUCUGGACCGAGACUGACG
rnacentral:rRNA from 1 species